rnacentral:lncRNA from 1 species
UUUUUUUUUCAAGUCAGACUUAGGUUAAACUUCAUCGAUCCAAGCCGAAUUCAUAUAAUACUACAUUGGGAGUUUCUUCAUUAACACUCAUAUGAUGCUUAAGUUUGAGAGCAAAUCAGAGAAUUCAAUUGAAUCCCUUUUAUAAGGGUCUUUAAGAACUAUUAUCUCUGUGUUAUUUGUCGAACAUGAUACGUUGAUCCCGAGUAUGAAGGUCGUCGCAACACAUCGAAUCCUAGAUGGGAUAGCACUCGUUUACAUGACAUUAAUCGAAUGAGAAAUAAUCAACCGACUAACUAGAGGCUAUCCACUUGCACUGAGGUGUCGAUCCUCUGGUGCUAAGGUAUUAGUCAUAUUAUUUUAUCUCUAACAGACUGAAUAGAGACACAUAGAAGAAAUUUAAAAGUAUGUAUGUACAGAUCCAAUAUCCACAUGUCAUCUCUCACGCAUAAUAUUCGUUUGUGUUAAGUUUGAAUUAGAAACAUGAGACUAAAAGGGAUUAUAAGCGUUAAAAAGUACAUGACGUUAUAUACCAGAAAACUACAGUACACUGCUAUGUUACAUUCAUGAGAAGAGCAAAAACUCCAUAAAACCUAGCGGGACACACUGCUUUUAAGCACAGCAUCACACGUUUAUGACAAGAGCUACAUAUAAUACUAGAUAGCACACACCCAUCGCUCCUCGAUCACUUCACUGGUUAUUGCAUUAGAGAUACAUAGGAGCCACGUACAUACAUAUGAGCCAUCCAAGCCGUCAAGGAAAUCUGCCACCAUAAUUAGCCCAGCGAAAGUUGAUGACAGAUGAAUAGCUCUCGGUAACGAUUGCAGUACGUCCCUCGGCAAGAUGGUGGCCACCAAUCACUGGUUCUCUCUUUGGGGCAGCGUUGCGUGGCGGAGGAGUGGGAGGAGGCCUUCUUCGCCUUCCCAGGCACUCAUCUAGCAUAUCAAAAGCUAUCUUGCCCUCCUUGACAAGGUCAGUUGGAGGUGCCAUGAGGUACUGAGUGAGAGAGAGAGGGCUUUAGAGCCUAAGAGCUACUGGUUUGCUUGGUUGAUGAGGAACUUGCUGUGUGGCCAUCCCUUCUUAUAGAACCGGCUUGCAUCUCUUUCGUUGACUCCAGUCAA